GUCCCUGUAGCGCCAUGGAUAGUGCGUUGGACUUCUAAUCCAAAUAUCGUAGGUUCGAAUCCUACCCCUGGGUUGACA